GGAUCUCUACAGGUGACCACACCUGUAGAGAUCCUCCGUCCUCAGGAUCCCUGAAGGCGCAGGUUGCGUCACCUGGUCACGUGACCGCAGGAAGUGACUGGAAGAGCAGCAGCAGCUGAGGUGACAGCGUGAAUUCACAAUGACAUCUUUAUCUCAUAAAGUUGCAGCAGCGAUCCAUACUCUGUAUAUUACGGUCUUAUUGGACUGGAGUUUGAGACUUAAUGAGUUUCAUCUGUGGAGCCGCCCACGCAGCGAGCAGCCGCUCCGGAGCCUCGCUGCUGCUUUAAUUCAUUACCGUGGAUCCUCACUCCUACUUAACUCACUGAAACUCAGACAGCAAGUUACUUCCUCCAACUGUUCAGGGGAAGAUGUGAGCGAGGCGAAGGAGAAGCUGCCGCCAUCUUUUCAGAGACACUAAUUACAGAGAACCCACAGCACAAGGAGAACAUGGUUCUGGUUCUGGUCCAGUUGUGAUGUAACUGGUUUUCCUCUAUGCGUUCUGUUUGGGUCGGUGAGGAGCCGCCGGGCUCCAGGGACAGCAGAUUAACGGAGCGCAGGUCCAUCGCUAAGCUGCUGUGAAGGAGAAACUUCUAAAGUUCUGAUCCGGUCCGGUCCGCUCGGCGGCCCAAAGCGGCUUUAGGAGCUAAUCUGAGCUUCGUGGAGGAGAAACUGAAUGGAGGAGAUGAAGGCUUGGAGCUCCUCAGGGAUCCUGCUGCGGCCCGGACCGUUCCCAUCAUCGGUCCGGCUCAUUAUUCCCGCCUUUGUCUUCAGAACCAGAUUCAGAACCUGCGGCCCGGCGGCGCUCUGCCUGCUAAUCCUCCACCAGACGCUUCAGGAUGAUAUCAGAUUAAACUGUGAGCGACCCGGCAGAACCUCCAGAACCAGCCAGCACCGCAGAGACCCUGCUCUCCGCUUCACCUCUGACCCCUGAGCGCUGCUGCUGCUUUUGCAGGGACGCACUGCCACCCAGUGGCCGCUCAAGGCACUGCAGCAGAACUUCACCCACCAAAUGUUCCUGCAGCGAUUUGUGAACCGAUUCAGAUUCAUGCUGCAGUUUAUUACAAAAUAAUCCAGCUGAAACCGCGCCCGACUGUUGCCAUGGUAACUGAAAUCCUUCAGAGGUUUCCUCCAACCAACAGCUGCAGAUUCAUCUCAGCAGAACUCGAAGAAAAGUUUUCUGGAUCAACAUCAAGAUCAGCCGCAAACGUCAAACCAAAUAAUCUGGUGCCAAUAUCUCAGAAUACCAUAAAACAAGACAAACAUACAGUAACGGUUCAGUGGGAUAUUAGAGCUUCAGUCAAUAACUCCUUCAAACUGAAGAAAAUAACUAAUUCAUCAUUUAAAUUCUGAAGUGCAAUAAUCUGCAAGAAGUGACUAUUUUGAAAUUUCUCAUUUUUAAAGAGCCACAUUUUAUUUUUGUUUUUAGGUUUUAAAAUGGAAAAAACAAAACAAAAAAACGAACCUUUUGCAGAAAAUAAAGAUGGAUGUUUCCUUUUGUGGGAUGAAAAAUAGAUCUAAAUAUCACAAGUAUUUUUUGAUGUAAUUCUGUCCUGGAAUAUUAAUUUACUGCAAGAACAAAUGCUUAAACAAUCAUGUUAUUAAAUUUACAUUUUAGUUUAUUAAGUCAAAGUUUUCAACUUUUUUCAGGUUGGAGGCUCUGAUCCCGUCCUGAACUCUACACUGAAAAACUAAAACAGCUGAUCCAACUUAAAUUGAGUUAAUUUGUUAGUUUAUCCAAAAUUAUCAAGUUUAUUAAGGUGUCAUGGUAA